AACGUAGGAGACAAACGUUAUCCGGAGUUACUGGGCGUAAAGGGCGUGUAGGCGGUUUGUUAAGUUUGGCGUGAAAGCUCUCGGCUAAACCGGGAGAGGUCGUUGGAUACUGGCAAACUAGAGGACGGUAGAGGCGUGUGGAAUUCCGGGUGUAGUGGUGAAAUGCGUAGAGAUGUGGAGGAACACCUGUGGCGAAGGCGCCUUGCUGGCCGAUUUCUGACGCUGAGGCGCGAAAGCGUGGGGAGCAAACAGG
rnacentral:rRNA from 1 species